ensembl:lncRNA
GGGGGCGGAGCAGGCGUGAUCCACUGAGCCACAAAGGAAAAUAGAGAGGAGAAUAAGAUAGUAAUGAGAGCUCUGCUAUAAAAUCUGGACCGCAACAUGUGGGGCACAUGCAGGAAUGAAAGAAAAGCAAAGAACUGAAGAGAAAACAAAGAGCGAUGAGCACAAAACAUCUGGAUCCCAGCGGGGCCCAAACAUCUGCUAGGAGCCGGCUGGGAGGUGGACGAGGAAGAGGAGCAGGAAGGAUGGGGUGCGCAUCAGGGACGUGAUCCAGACGGGUCUACACAUCCAUAUUUCAUCAUCUAACUGUCCUCACCUCUCCUGUUUUAAUGUAACCUUUCUGUGAUGUUUUUGUUUUUUUCAAUUGUGUCUUGAUGUAAAGUGUUUUUCAAAAACUAAAACUGCUAUACAAAUAAAAAUGUAUAACAAUUUUUAUUAUCAUUAUUUUUUUUAUCAUUAUUAUUAUUAUUAUGUUGUAGGGGUCAGUGGAAAACAGGGCAGUGAGUUUGAGUGUGCAUCAUUGAAAUGUAAAAUGGAUUUACUAGUUUUUGGAAUAAAAAAUGUG